rnacentral:rRNA from 1 species
UAAUACCAGCUCCCCGAGUGGUCGGGACGAUUAUUGGGUCUAAAGCAUCCGUAGCCGGCCUGGUAGGUUUCUUGUUAAAUCCAACGGCUCAACCGUUGGACUGCAGGAGAUACCGUUAGGCUAGGGGGCGGGGGAGGCGGACGGUACUUCAUGGGUAGGGGUAAAAUCCUCUGAUCCGUGGAAGACCAUCAGUGGCGAAGGCGGUCCGCCAGAACGCGCCUGACGGUGAGGGAUGAAAGCUGGGGGAGCGAACCGGAUUAGAUACCCGGGUAGUCCCAGCUGUAAACGAUGCGGGCUAGGUGCUGGAGAGGCUACGUGCCUUUCCAGUGCCGCAGGGAAGCCGUUAAGCCCGCCGCCUGGGGAGUACGGCCGCAAGGUUGAAACUUAAAGGAAUUGGCGGGGGAGCACCACAAGGGGUGAAGCCUGCGGUUC